AUCGAACGCUGGCGGCAGGCCUAACACAUGCAAGUCGAGCGGAUGAAGGGAGCUUGCUCCUGGAUUCAGCGGCGGACGGGUGAGUAAUGCCUAGGAAUCUGCCUGGUAGUGGGGGAUAACGUCCGGAAACGGGCGCUAAUACCGCAUACGUCCUGCGGGAGCAAGUGGGGGAUCUUCGGACCUCACGCUAUCAGAUGAGCCUAGGUCGGAGUAGCUAGUUGGUGGGGUAAAGGCCUACCAAGGCGACGAUCCGUAACUGGUCUGAGAGGAUGAUCAGUCACACUGGAACUGAGACACGGUCCAGACUCCUACAGGGGGCAGCAGUGGGGAAUAUUGGACGAUGGAGGAGAGCCUGAUCCAGCCAUGCCGCGUGUGUGAAGAAGGUCUUCGGAUUGUAAAGCACUUUAAGUUGGGAGGAAGUGCAGUAAGUUAAUACCUUGCUGUUUUGACGUUACCAACAGAAUAAGCACCGGCUAACUUCGUG
rnacentral:rRNA from 1 species